rnacentral:misc_RNA from 1 species
GGGCACAACCCCUACGAGAAUUGUGUAUCAGUUAUGCGAUUGUACAAGAGAAUGCGUAGUCUUGAUCACCGUGGACAAGUUAUGACCCCGUCGAUUGCUCCUCCCCCUAUCCAGUACGUUGCUCCCAAUCUUGAUUCCCAUAGUGUAAAAGAUCUUGAGAAGAUGACCCCAGAUGAACUCUAUGAGAUGUCGAGAUCAAACUUUAAAUGUUGGUGUCUUGACUCAAGGCGAGUAAUGUAGACUUAGGUGCCGACCAUUUUCAUUUUC